AUGAGUGUAUUUCAGAACAUUGUAGCUCAGCAAAUGCCUGCAGCAGCUAGACUUCAAGGUGAAAUAGAGCAGUACUUGACUGAUGGUUUAGUGCCUUACGUUGAAAAGUUCAAUGUGCUGGAUUGGUGGAAGGUGGCUGGAACAAGGUAUCCGACCUUAAGGAAAGUAGCAAGAGACAUAUUUGCUAUUCCCGUAACAACAAUUGCUUCAGAGUCAGCCUUUAGUAUAAGUGGCAGAAAGCUCAAUGACCAUAGAAGCCGACUUACACCUUAUAUGGUGGAGGUUUUAAUGUGCUCGCAAGAUUGGCUUCGAAACAAGUACAAAGGUGACAAAAUAGUGUACUUCAUUAAUAUUUUCUCUUACUGA
rnacentral:rRNA from 1 species